rnacentral:rRNA from 1 species
UAUCUUCGGAUAUGAGUAGAGCGGCGGACGGGUGAGUAACGCGUAGGAAUCUACCUAGUAGAAGGGGAUAGCCCGGGGAAACCCGGAUUAAUACCGUAUACCUCCUUCGGGAGAAAGAAGGCCUCUCUUUGAAGCUUUCGCUACUAGAUGAGCCUGCGUAAGAUUAGCUUGUUGGUGAGGUAAAGGCUCACCAAGGCAACGAUCUUUAGCUGGUCUGAGAGGACGAUCAGCCACAUUGGGACUGAGACACGGCCCAGACUCCUACGGGAGGCAGCAGUGGGGAAUAUUGGACAAUGGGCGCAAGCCUGAUCCAGCCAUACCGCGUGUGUGAAGAAGGCCUUCGGGUUGUAAAGCACUUUAAGCAGGGAGAAAAAGUUAUAAGCUAAUACCUUAUAACCUUGAUGUUACCUGCAGAAUAAGCACCGGCUAAUUCCGUGCCAGCAGCCGCGGUAAUACGGAAGGUGCAAGCGUUAAUCGGAAUUACUGGGCGUAAAGCGCGCGUAGGUGGUUUGUUAAGUUGGAUGUGAAAGCCCUG